CGUAACGCGUAUGUAACCUACCUAUAACAGGGGCAUAACACUGAGAAGUUGGUACUAAUUCCCCAUAAUAUUCGGAGAGGCAUCUCUCCGGGUUGAAAACUCCGGUGGUUAUAGAUGGACAUGCGUUGUAUUAGCUAGUUGGUGAGGUAACGGCUCACCAAGGCAACGAUACAUAGGGGGACUGAGAGGUUAACCCCCCCACACUGGUACUGAGACACGGACCAGACUCCUACGGGAGGCAGCAUG
rnacentral:rRNA from 1 species